GAUUCUCCAUUGAGUUUGCUGGUGGAUGGAUUCCUAAAAUUUCCAUCUUUAAUCAAAGGCUAAAAAAACCAUAAUGAGAACCCAAACUGGCUGUUGAGGUGGGUGGCUUUUUGGUUUCACAGUUAGACGUAUGCCUUGCAAUGAAUGCACUCUUCUCUAAAUGGUGAGUACAUUAUAGCUGUUAACCUUGACAGGAUAACUGGAUGGGUUGUGAGCUCAACACAUUUUCCGCUUUCUUGGAGAACAAAUAUGCAUAAGAGGAGGAAAUAAG
rnacentral:misc_RNA from 1 species